GGUCUUGUGGAGGAGGAGGGCUAUGGCGUCGUCCGUGGAUCUGUUUGGCCUGUAAGCAAACUGUAGUGGGUCCAGGGUGGAGGGCAGUGUGGAGGUGAUGAAACAGUCCGUUCUCUGGCAGG